rnacentral:rRNA from 1 species
GGGUUGUAAACUGCUUUUAUACAGGAAGAAACACUCCCUCGUGAGGGAGCUUGACGGUACUGUAAGAAUAAGGAUCGGCUAACUCCGUGCCAGCAGCCGCGGUAAUACGGAGGAUCCAAGCGUUAUCCGGAAUCAUUGGGUUUAAAGGGUCCGUAGGUGGAUAAUUAAGUCAGAGGUGAAAUCCUGCAGCUCAACUGUAGAAUUGCCUUUGAUACUGGUUGUCUUGAGUUAUUAUGAAGUAGUUAGAAUAUGUAGUGUAGCGGUGAAAUGCAUAGAUAUUACAUAGAAUACCAAUUGCGAAGGCAGAUUACUAAUAAUAUACUGACACUGAUGGACGAAAGCGUGGGGAGCGAACAGGAUUAGAUACCCUGGUAGUCCACGCCGUAAACGAUGGAUACUAGCUGUUCGGAUUUAUCUGAGUGGCUAAACGAAAGUGAUAA